AAUGAACGUUGGCGGCGUGGAUUAGGCAUGCAAGUCGAGCGAGAAACUCACUUUUGAUCUUUCGAGUGAAAAAGUGAGCGGACAGCGGCGAAAGGGAGAGUAACGCGUAGAUCACGUACCCAAGGGCUCGGAAUAGCGGGGGAAACCGCCGGUAAUGCCGAAUAAUGUCUCCGGACCAAAGAUUUAUCACCCUUGGAGCGGUUUGCGUACUAUUAGUUUGUUGGUGGGGUAAUGGCCUACCAAGGCAAAGAUGGUUAGCGGGUGUGAGAGCAUGGCCCGUCUCACUGGGACUGAGACACUGCCCAGACACCUACGGGUGGCUGCAGUCGAGAAUCUUCCGCAAUGGACGAAAGUCUGACGGAGCGACGCCGCGUGCGGGAUGAAGGCCUUCGGGUUGUAAACCGCUGUCAUAGGGGAGGAAAUUUUGACCGAUCCUAAGAGGAAGCACAGGCUAAGUUCGUG
rnacentral:rRNA from 1 species